rnacentral:misc_RNA from 1 species
AGAUAGUUCUCCGGAGUAUCAGGUAACAGAGCUUGUUACGCCACCCCAGUCAUGAACUUACCGUAGGCCGCCUCCCAUGGUUAGGCUGGGCAUUCUGGUAAACCCCAUUCUGAGCCGGGCGGCAUAAGACCCGGGAAUGAGUUCACCGCGAGCUGAUCGACAUUAUGAUUCUGACUUCACGCAGCCGAGUUGCAGACUGUGAUCCGGGCCAUGAUCUGGCUUUGGGAUUAAUUUCUCGUGGUUGGCGACUCUUGUCCCGACUCGAAGCCCUACCAUAAGGGCCAUGUGAUUUUGACAUCCCUACCUUCCGGUCACCGGCAGUCCGCGCCCUUUCGUAGCAAUCGACAAGGGUUGCGUUGCUGCGGGAUUUAACUCCAACAUCUCACGACACGAAAGCUGACGACAGCCAUGCAGCACCCAAAAAAUCCCGGUUCUUACAGAGACCUGACACAUCAGGCGGUAGUGGCCUUCGCGUUGACACCGAAUCAACUAUUAUCAUCCGGGCUUGUAAUCCUCGUCAGCCUCUGAGCCUUAAUCUUGCGACCGUGCUCCCCAGGCGGUCAACUUCACGCGUGUGGUGCAGUGAAAUGCGUAGAUAUGCGAGAACACCGAUGGGCGGCAGCCUCCUGGGAUAACACUGACGCUCAUGCACGAAAGCGUGGGGAGCAAACAGGAUUAGAUACCCUGGUAGUCCGCCUCUAAACGAUGUCAACUAGCUGUUGGGGCCUUCGGCUCUGGUAGCGCAGCUAACGCGUGAAGUUGACCGCCUGGGGAGUACGGUCGCAAGAUUAAAACUCAAAGGAAUUGACGGGACCGCACAAGCGGUGGAUGAUGUGGAUUAAUUCGAUGCAACGCGAAAAACCUUACCUACCCUUGACAUGUCUGAAUCCCGAAGAGAUUUGGGAGUGCUCGCAAGAGAACCGGAACACAGGUGCUGCAUGGCUGUCGUCAGCUCGUGUCGUGAGAUGUUGGGUUGUCCCGCAACGAGCGCAACUCCUUGUCAUUAGUUACAAGGAAAGGGCACUCUGAAUGAGACUGCCGGUGACAAACCGGAGGAAGGUGGGGAUGACGUCAGUCCUCAUGGUCCUUAUGGGUAGGGCUUCACACGUCAUACAAUGGUCGGGACAGAGCGGCUGCCGGUCGCUGGCGAGGGGAUGCCAUCCAGAAAAACCCGAUCAAAUCCGGAUUCGCAGUCUGCGGACCUCGACUGGCGGAAGUCAGAAUCGCAAGAACGCAGAUUGCGUGCCGUGUGAAUACGUUCAUAGUCUUGUACACACCGCCUGUCACACCAUAUGGAGUGGUUUUACCAGAAGUAGUUAGCCUAACCGUAAGGGGAGGGCGAUUACCACGGUAGGGAUUCAUGACUUGGGUGAAGUCGUACUAGCGGCAG